rnacentral:rRNA from 1 species
AAGCUCGUAGUUGAAUUUCGGGGUUAGUAGGUUGGUCAUGCCUCUGGUAUGUACUGGUCUCACUGAUUCCUCCUUCCUGAUGAACCGUAAUGCCAUUAAUUUGGUGUUGCGGGGAAUUUGGACUGUUACUUUGAAAAAAUUAGAGUGUUUAAAGCAAGCUAACGCUUGAAUACAUUAGCAUGGAAUAAUGAAAUAGGACGUUCGAUCUUAUUUUGUUGGUUUCUAGGAUUGACGUAAUGAUUAAUAGGGAUAGUUGGGGGCAUUAGUAUUCAAUUGUCAGAGGUGAAAUUCUUGGAUUUAUUGAAGACUAACUACUGCGAAAGCAUUUGCCAAGGAUGUUUUCAUUAAUCAAGAACGAAAGUUAGGGGAUCGAAGACGAUCAGAUACCGUCGUAGUCUUAACCAUAAACUAUGCCAACUAGGGAUCGGAUGAUGUUAAUUUUUUAAUGACUCAUUCGGCGCCUUACGGGAAACCAAAGUGUUUGGGUUCCGGGGGGAGUAUGGUCGCAAGGCUGAAACUUAAAGGAAUUGACGGAAGGGCACCACCAGGGGUGGAGCCUGCGGCUUAAUUUGACUCAACACGGGGAAA